rnacentral:rRNA from 1 species
UAGCUAGUUGGUGGGGUAAGGGCCUACCAAGGCGACGAUCGGUAGCUGGUCUGAGAGGAUGGCCAGCCACACUGGAACUGAGACACGGUCCAGACUCCUACGGGAGGCAGCAGUGGGGAAUAUUGGACAAUGGGGGCAACCCUGAUCCAGCAAUGCCGCGUGUGUGAAGAAGGCCUGAGGGUUGUAAAGCACUUUCAGUGGGGAGGAGGGUUGAUAGGUUAAGAGCUAAUUAACUGGACGUUACCCACAGAAGAAGCACUGGCUAACUCCGUGCCAGCAGCCGCGGUAAUACGGAGGGUGCGAGCGUUAAUCGGAAUUACUGGGCGUAAAGGGUGCGUAGGUGGUUGAUUAAGUUAUCUGUGAAAUUCCUGGGCUUAACCUGGGACGGUCAGAUAAUACUGGUUGACUCGAGUAUGGGAGAGGGUAGUGGAAUUUCCGGUGUAGCGGUGAAAUGCGUAGAGAUCGGAAGGAACACCAGUGGCGAAGGCGGCUACCUGGCCUAAUACUGACACUGAGGCACGAAAGCGUGGGGAGCAAACAGGAUUAGAUACCCUGGUAGUCCACGCUGUAAACGAUGUCAACUAGCUGUUGGUUAUAUGAAAAUAAUUAGUGGCGC